GCGUUAAUCGGAAUUACUGGGCGUAAAGCGCACGUAGUCGGCUUGUCAAGUCGGGUGUGAAAUCCCCGGGCUCAACCUGGGAACUGCAUCCGAAACUGACUUGCUAGAGUAUGGGAGAGGGAGGCGGAAUUUCUGGUGUAGCAGUGAAAUGCGUAGAUAUCAGAAGGAACAUCAGUGGCGAAGGCGGCCUCCUGGACCAAUACUGACGAUCAGGUGCGAAAGCGUG
rnacentral:rRNA from 1 species